AGUGAACGCUGGCGGUAGGCCUAACACAUGCAAGUCGAACGGCAGCACAGUAAGAGCUUGCUCUUACGUGUGGCGAGUGGCGGACGGUUGAGGAAUACAUCGGAAUCUACUUUUUCUUGGGGGAUUACGUAGGGAAACUUUCGCUAAUACCGCAUACGUCCUACGGUUGAAAGCAUGGGAUCUUCCGACCUUCUGUGCUUGAAUGAGCCGAUUUCGGAUUAGCUAGUUGGCGGGGUAAAGACCCACCAAGGCGACGAUCCGUAUCUGGUCUGAGAGGAUGAUCAGCCACACUGGAACUGGGACACAGUCCAGAAUCCUACGGGAGGCAGCAGUGGGGAAUAUUGUACAAUGGGAGGAAGCAUGAUCCAACCAUACCGCGUGCGUGAAGAAGGCAUUCGGGUUGUAAAGCCCUUUUGUUGGGAAAGAAAAGCAGCAGGUUAAUACCCCGCUGUUCUGACGGUACCCAAAGAAUAAGCACCGGCUAACUUCGUG
rnacentral:rRNA from 1 species